GGGAAAGGUGGAUGCCCUGUGUGAGACCCCGUGUGGUGAAGCAGAUCUGAACUACAGGGCAGGGUCCGACUUGGCUAGCGCUUUAGGAUCACCUGGGAGUGAACAAUGCACAUAUAUUUGGGAGACUGCUCCAAGAGAUGGUGCACUAUAUGAAGAGGCCCUGGUCCACCGCUGUGGGAGAAGAGUGGGCUGUAUUGCUGGGACAGGCAAACAGACGUGAUG
rnacentral:lncRNA from 1 species